ACAAGUAUGAAAGACAAGCUGAUAGACUUUUCUCAAUGAUGUAAGUGGUGGUGCAUGGUCGUUCUUAGUUCGUGGAUUGAUUUGUCUGGUCUAUUCCGAUAACGAGCGAGACCCCUUCGUUCCUACUAGGAGUGGCAGCCCGGCUUUCCUGCCUUCACGGGCGGGGUUGCUAGCAGCCGCUUGAGAUUCACUUCUUAGACGUAUCAGGGCCGAUAAGGUCCUUGAAAUGGGUUAAUAACAGGUCAGUCAUGCCCUUAGAUGUUCUGGGCCGCACGCGCGUUACAAUGGUAUACAAAGAAUGUGCUCCUAUGGGGCUUCUCCGCUGCCGAAAGGCCGUGGUAACCCCUAGUCUCUCCCUUGACUGGGCCAGACUAUUGUAAUUAUUGGUCUCCAACGAGGAAUUUUUAGUAGUCGCAGGUCAUUAACCUG
rnacentral:rRNA from 1 species